GAGUGGCGGACGGGUGAGUAACACGUGGGUAACCUGCCCUAAAGUGGGGGAUAACAUUUGGAAACAGAUGCUAAUACCGCAUAAAACCUAACACCGCAUGGUGUAGGGUUGAAAGAUGGUUUCGGCUAUCACUUUAGGAUGGACCCGCGGUGCAUUAGUUAGUUGGUGAGGUAAAGGCUCACCAAGACCGUGAUGCAUAGCCGACCUGAGAGGGUAAUCGGCCACACUGGGACUGAGACACGGCCCAGACUCCUACGGGAGGCAGCAGUAGGGAAUCUUCCACAAUGGACGAAAGUCUGAUGGAGCAACGCCGCGUGAGUGAAGAAGGUUUUCGGAUCGUAAAACUCUGUUGUUGGAGAAGAUGUAUCUGAUAGUAACUGAUCAGGUAGUGACGGUAUCCAACCAGAAAGCCACGGCUAACUACGUGCCAGCAGCCGCGGUAAUACGUAGGUGGCAAGCGUUGUCCGGAUUUAUUGGGCGUAAAGCGAGCGCAGGCGGUUUCUUAAGUCUGAUGUGAAAGCCUUCGGCUCAACCGAAGAAGUGCAUCGGAAACUGGGAAACUUGAGUGCAGAAGAGGACAGUGGAACUCCAUGUGUAGCGGUGAAAUGCGUAGAUAUAUGGAAGAACACCAGUGGCGAAGGCGGCUGUCUGGUCUGUAACUGACGCUGAGGCUCGAAAGCAUGGGUAGCAAACAGGAUUAGAUACCCUGGUAGUCCAUGCCGUAAACGAUGAGUGCUAGGUGUUGGAGGGUUUCCGCCCUUCAGUGCCGCAGCUAACGCAUUAAGCACUCCGCCUGGGGAGUACGACCGCAAGGUUGAAACUCAAAGGAAUUGACGGGGGCCCGCACAAGCGGUGGAGCAUGUGGUUUAAUUCGAAGCAACGCGAAGAACCUUACCAGGUCUUGACAUCCUUUGACCACUCUAGAGAUAGAGCUUUCCCUUCGGGGACAAAGUGACAGGUGGUGCAUGGUUGUCGUCAGCUCGUGUCGUGAGAUGUUGGGUUAAGUCCCGCAACGAGCGCAACCCUUAUUACUAGUUGCCAGCAUUUAGUUGGGCACUCUAGUGAGACUGCCGGUGACAAACCGGAGGAAGGUGGGGACGACGUCAAAUCAUCAUGCCCCUUAUGACCUGGGCUACACACGUGCUACAAUGGAUGGUACAACGAGUUGCGAGACCGCGAGGUUUAGCUAAUCUCUUAAAACCAUUCUCAGUUCGGAUUGUAGGCUGCAACUCGCCUACAUGAAGCCGGAAUCGCUAGUAAUCGCGGAUCAGCAUGCCGCGGUGAAUACGUUCCCGGGCCUUGUACACACCGCCCGUCACACCAUGAGAGUUUGUAACACCCAAAGCCGG
rnacentral:rRNA from 1 species